GUGGGAGUUCCCAGAGUUCCACAGGACUGUUAAGCCACUCUGGGAAUUCUAGCUUUGUGUGAGGAACAGGGGUCUCCUCACAACUCUCAACUCCCUUAAACUACACUUCCCAGAAUUCUUUAGGAGGAAGCCAUGACUAAUGGCACCUCAAGUCUUCAUAUUCCACACCAUAAUACUUGCUAUCAUCCUGCUCUGCUAGUUAAUUCUCCCCUUCUUAAUUAUUAGGUUCAAAUGUGAUCCUUAUAGCACAAACCUAACCUUGUCUACUCAGAAGAAAGUCCAGUUAAAUUCAGUGGAGCUUACUCCCAGGUAAGUGGGCUUGGGAUUGCAGCCUUAGAUAUCUUUGAAGAGUUACAGGACAAGACAAUAUAUACAUAGUCAGGAAAUUUCUCUUAUUUAUAUUUAUUGCUACACAACACAGAGUACUAACCACUAUACGAUCACGGCCAUUUAUUGCUUUGCAAUUUCUGUUUUAGGAAUUAAAAGAGAGACUUAUUUGACUAACGGGUUUAUUUAGUUUGUUGAAUCCUUAGCCAAUUCUGGAAAUUGUGUGCAAAAGAAAGAAUGCCUCUUCGUGUGAAACACACUCCCAGAAUAAAGAUAUAUAGCAAAUGGAAAUCUGCAACUAAUGGAUUAUGGCUGCCUAGAAGUGUGUGGCAAUGAGGAUGGUGUCUGCCUUCUGUGCUAGCAUGACUUGUUUUCUGCAAGACUUUUAUCAGGUUUUUAGAAAAAGAAGCCUAUCUCCUUUUUCAGAGGAGGCAAGAAAUUGAAUUUAUUUGUAGCCUAGGGAUGCAGAAAACUACCACAUCUAAUCUAUGGCAGCUUCAGAGUUGAAACGCAGGAGAUUCCCGAGACAUCACCAUUCAGCUGGGCAUGGGAGAUCAUGGAUGCAGUUGUCAUUUUGCCACUUUCGGUUAGCCACUAGGAUGGGAGAUCUUCCCUACCCCACAUCCCUCUCAUGGCACUUAUUUCUGUCUUAAUAGCAAAGGACGGCAAAGUGUCUCAUUGGCUUUCAAAACGUUGAACGCAUGUAGAGUUCUAAAUGAUUUAUUUCUGGCUCUUCCUGCUCUAGCACUUCCCCCCACCCCCUUUCCAAAUAUUAAGAUAUAUGUAAUCGACUCUGGCAGUUCACUUUGCAAAUGUAAUAGAAAUAAUUAUAAGGAGGUCCAAAGGUUGCCAGCAAAGGAAAUGUAACAAGUUUUUUUUUUUUUAAGGACUAUUGACUUUCGUGAAAAAUAUAUGUGGAACCUAAGGAUACUGCAGAUCAACUGAAAAAGAAAUUAAUGAUUUAUGCUGCAUCUCUCCCCCCCCCCUUUUUGGACCCAAAGAGUUUUUACAAAGGAAAAUAGGGCAAUGCAAGCCUAUCAGUUUUAGAAAUAUUUGCAGGUAAAGGUAAAGGGACCCCUGACCAUUAGGUCCAGUCGUGACCGACUCUGGGGUUGCACGCUCAUCUCUCUCUAUAGGCCCGAGGGAGC